CAGGACCCCACUGGAAAUCGGACUGUCCAACUCACCCUGCAGCCACUACCAGAGCUCCUGGAACUCUGGCCCAAGGCUCUCUGACUGACUCCUUCCCAGAUCUUCUCGGCUUAGUGGCUGAAGGCUGAUGCUGCCCCAUCACCUCGGAAGCCUCCUGGACCAUCACAGACACUUUCAGUAACUCUUACAGUGGAAGAUACAUGGUCUCCCUAUGUUGCCCCAGCUGGUCUUGAACUCCUGGGAUCAAGCAAUCCUCCUGCCUUGGCCUUCCAAAGUGCUGGGAUUACAGGCAUGAGCCACUGCACCUGGCCUAUGACUAAUAUUUAUAGUACACAAAAUCCCAAUAUAAUGGAAUCAGGUUCAAGUGGUUCAGAUUACUAGAAAUCACAGUGAGAAUUGGAGGUAAAGCUGACACAGAUUCUCUGAACAGAACUAGCAAGUGAGAAAAAUGAUAGGGCACACUGGCAAAUCAAGAAGUAGAAUUGAGUUAAUGGUGAUGGCAUCAAAAUAGAUAGAAACCUUUAUAUAAGCAUGCAUUAAGCCCUUCAAAGAACUGAAGAGGGUGUGUGUGUGUGUGCACACAUAUGUGUGUGUAUGUGUGUGUGCAUGUGUGUCUGUAUAAGAUGCGGGUGUUUGGGGGCAGUUUCGUCAUGACUAAGACCAUUGGGACAUCUGCAGUCAAAGAAGGUAAAGGGAAUCCAAAGUCUGGUACUUGAUUGUAGAACAAAAAAACUGUGAUGAACUCAAGCACGUAUCAGUUCACCCUUUCUUCCAAUUUGCAAGACACGGAGCCUAUAAUCAAUCACUAUUUUUAGAGAAAGUAAUGAUUAGAUGGAAAGGAAUCAGCAGAAAGCACAUGGUUUACAGAAUUGUUUCUCACAGAGGUUAUUGUAACCAGAGCAACACAUUGUCUUCAUUAUGGGUCAUAAAAAAAUUGCUCAUUUCCCUAGACUUUUUUUGCUGUGAUGCAACAUUAUUUAUAUUUUACAAGUUGACGUAAAUGGUAUCUUGAUGAGCAUUUUUGGAAAGAGUUGCUCCUUGAUUAAGAAAUGCUAAGCUUUCUCUGAUUGAUUCUAAAUUAUGCUAUACUUUUUUUUUUUUGGCAAAUGUCUAUUGUUAUAAAUCUGGCCAUUAGAUAUUUCUAGGAACAUCAGUAUCAAGUGAGAAGCCACUGUAUCUCUCUAGGGUCUGUGAGCCUCUGAAGUUAAAUACUUGGGAGUAUAAGUGCAUAUUUCUGUAAAAAAAAUAAAAAUAAAAAUAAAAAUAAAAAGAGGCCAUAGUGUCAUCAGAUGUUCAAAAGAGUCUGGAACUAAGUUUUUUUUUAAAUUAGGAAACCCUUUGCUCUGAAUGUACAAGCUUAGUUAUUUAUUUCAGGUUGUAACCUUGCCUUGGCCCAGUGUAUUUUCCAUUAAUCUCCAGAAGUGCUUUAGAUUCAUGAGAGUAGACCCCCCACGCUCAACCCUGUGUGACAGGAAGGAGCCCAAUUAAAUAAAUACACGUUUUUGAAAUAAUUAUGUUGUGACUGGUGAGGAUCAAAUAAUUAAUUCAUCUUCUUUUUUAAACUUUUAGCGAACAUUUCACAAUGAUGCUCUUUCCACCUUUGUAAAAUAGGGAGAUGUCAUUUGUAGUAGGCACAAUGGUUAGCCCACAUGAGUGAGACUUAGUAUAGAUUUUAAAAUACUGAGGUUCAGCCAUAACAAUAAAGUGGUUCUCAGAGUGACAAACAACAUGUGCUUAAAAUCUUUCAGUGGUGCCCCCAAAUUCCUAGAAUAAAUCCCAAAUUCCUUCAGUAGCUUUGUAAUCUAACCCCAAGUGUACAGGUUUAUCUUUUAAUAUUACAGAGUUUCUUAGCUUAAGCAUUACUGACCUUGAGAGCUGGUCUUUGUUGUGGAGGCUGUCCUGUGCACUGGCGGAUGUUUAGCAGCUUCCCUGACCUCUACCCACUACAAGCUAAUAGCAGCCCCCUCUGCCACUUGUGACACCAAAAGUGUUGCCAGAAAUUGACAAAUGUUCCCUGGGGCCAAAGUCUGCCUUGAUUAAGAACCACUCAUUUAUAGUCCUUCAUUCUCUCAACUCAUCUCCACCAUGAUGAACUUCCUUCCAUUUCGGAAUGCACAUUUCUUUCUCCUCUGUACCUUUGUACCUCUGUACCUUUUAUGUAUGCACCACACUUCCCACUCUGUUAUGCCUAGCAAACUCCUCCGUCUUAUCUUCAGGACUCAGCUUAGCAGCCUGGGUUAGAUAGGUACAGCUUCCACCUGCAUUUCCUCUUUCACAGCCUAGCUCUGUUGUAUGAUUUAGUUGAAGGUUUAUCUGUACCUCCUAUUAAACCAUAAGUGGCAAGAGAUCAAGAUCAUUACUGAGGUCUUCACUGCUGUAUUGCAUUGCCUGGCACAUAUUAGGAGCACAAUAAAGAGUUGCUGAAUAAACUAACAUUUGAGCCCCACAAAGAUAAGUCAACACUACUAUAGUGUUACUUUUUUAAAAAAUUGCAUUUCCUUGUACAGUUAUUAAACAUUAAGAGUUCAAAAAUAACCUUGGGAAAAAACUGGUACAACGUGUGUUUAACACAAAUCACUGUUUCAACUUAAUUCUUUCCAUGCAUUUGACCUUUACAAGUCUUUUUAGCUUAAUUUAUUUUAGAUUUAAAACCUGUAUUUUAUCACAAUUUGGCAGAUUUUUGUUUGCUGUCUAUUAGCAUGGUAAAGGUCACAUCAUUAGAUGAAGUCUGGUGGCAGAAAAAACAGUAAUUCGCCAAUGGGAAACACAGAAAAACUGGCUUCAUUUUUUAUGUUGUACUGUAACUUUUAUCUUGGGGUUGAUUUAAAAUGUUAUUAUUCAACACUGAAAAUUAUAUCUGAAAUGAAUUCUGUAAAGUACACAAAAGAGAAAAAUUGCCUAGAUGCUAAAUCUAAAACCAUGGUUAUGUUACACAAUUAAAUAUUAGAAAGUGCUUAAAAUAUCUUGGCUAACAAAGGGACUUAAAGAUCUGUUAAAUAAAAACUACUAAAG
rnacentral:lncRNA from 1 species